rnacentral:rRNA from 1 species
UGGGGAAUAUUGCACAAUGGGCGAAAGCCUGAUGCAGCAACGCCGCGUGAGUGAUGAAGGCCUUCGGGUUGUAAAGCUCUGUCUUUUGGGACGAUAAUGACGGUACCAAAGGAGGAAGCCACGGCUAACUACGUGCCAGCAGCCGCGGUAAUACGUAGGUGGCAAGCGUUGUCCGGAUUUACUGGGCGUAAAGGAUGCGUAGGCGGAUUUUUAAGUGAGAUGUGAAAACCCUAAGCUUAACUUGGGGACUGCAUUCAUACUGGAAAUCUAGAGUGCGGGAGAGGAGAAUGGAAUUCCUAGUGUAGCGGUGAAAUGCGUAGAGAUUAGGAAGAACGCCAGUGGCGAAGGCGAUUCUCUGGACCGUAACUGACGCUGAGGCAUGAAAGCGUGGGUAGCAAACAGGAUUAGAUACCCUGGUAGUCCACGCCGUAAACGAUGAGUACUAGGUGUAGGAGGUAUCGACCCCUUCUGUGCCGCAGUU